CGGACGGGUGAGUAACGCGUGAGAAUCUGGCUCUAGGUCUGGGACAACCACUGGAAACGGUGGCUAAUACCGGAUGUGCCGAGAGGUGAAAGGUUAACUGCCUAGAGAUGAGCUCGCGUCUGAUUAGCUAGUUGGAAGUGUAAUGGACUCCCAAGGCGACGAUCAGUAGCUGGUCUGAGAGGACGAUCAGCCACACUGGGACUGAGACACGGCCCAGACUCCUACGGGAGGCAGCAGUGGGGAAUUUUCCGCAAUGGGCGAAAGCCUGACGGAGCAAUACCGCGUGAGGGAGGAAGGCUCUUGGGUCGUAAACCUCUUUUCUCAGGGAAGAACAAAAUGACGGUACCUGAGGAAUAAGCAUCGGCUAACUCCGUGCCAGCAGCCGCGGUAAUACGGAGGAUGCAAGCGUUAUCCGGAAUGAUUGGGCGUAAAGCGUCCGCAGGUGGCUAUGUAAGUCUGCUGUUAAAGAGUCUAGCUCAACUAGAUAAGAGCAGUGGAAACUACAAGGCUAGAGUACGUUCGGGGCAGAGGGAAUUCCUGGUGUAGCGGUGAAAUGCGUAGAGAUCAGGAAGAACACCGGUGGCGAAGGCGCUCUGCUAGGCCGUAACUGACACUGAGGGACGAAAGCUAGGGGAGCGAAUGGGAUUAGAUACCCCAGUAGUC
rnacentral:rRNA from 1 species